rnacentral:lncRNA from 1 species
GAAAUAAACAGCCUUGUUGCUCACACAAAGCCUGUUUGGUGGUCUCUUCACACGGAUGCGCGUGAAACCCUGUGCAUGCUGACAGAAUAUAUUUUGCACUACAAAAGAAGAAAUCCAAGCUUGUGAAUUUGGAAGUUUAUGUAGAUAUUGCUCUACACAUACCACUCUCUUCUCUAAAGUAACGAGUUUUCUCUGAGAAGAAAAAGGUGAAGAUUCCUGCCCCCAUUAUGCAAGCACUUGGCACCCGAGAAGAAAAGUUUUAUUGCCGUUUGAAUGGAAGCAGAUGGCUCCAGGUCUGACACUGGGGACUGAAACUGUCUUUGUGAGACUAAUGAAAGACCAGAAGACUAGGAUUAUGGGAAAGGCCUAAAUUCUAGGAUGUAGUUAAACAGUAACCAGCCAUUGUUCUCUAGCUUGACUCUCAUAAUUCCUUAAUGCUUAAGAGUCAUGCAGCCAGAAAUCACAGGAUUUAUGACUUCCAUAAUUCCUCCUAUAGAUAACAAUACAUUGUCAAAACCCAAGCUUGGUCUUUGAGACAUUUUGCAGACUUUUUAAUUAUGACUGACUCCACCAGGACUAAUGACUCAUAUCAAGGAACUGACUCAACUGGUGACCUCCACCCGGGAACUGACAGCAUGCUCAGACAGUAUGGACACUCCUGUGAUUUCAUGGCUAAUCAAUCAGCAGCACCCAUUCCUAAUUCAUGUCUGUCAAAUUAUCCUUAAAAAUCCUGAUUUUCAAGCUCUCAAAGAAGUGGAUUUCAGAAAUGUCUCUUGUUCUUCCUCUUGGCCAGCCCUGUGAUAAUUAGUUUCUUUGCUGCAAACCUGCUGUCCUCAGUGCAUUAGCUUUUUCUGGACAGCAGGCAAGAAGAAUCCAUUGAGCUCUUACAAAAUUCAACAUUUAUUCACAGUUUAAAGAAAUCUGUAGAAGAAUAAUUGCAAAGGAAAUACAAAUUAUGUCAAUAACCAACUCCAUGCUUAAUCAUAAUCAAUAAAAACUUUCUCAC